UAUAUAUAUAUGCAGUUAGAAUGAUAGUGGUCCACCAAAGUUGAGUAGGUGGUUGGUUGAAUAACAUGAUCUAACAGAUAGAAAUGAUUAAAGAUGUAAAUCUAUAUAAUGGUAGAAACUUUGUAGCACGAAGUGCUUGUUGCUAUUAGAAGCACCCUAGGUGUGUGUAUAUAUAUGCUUUCGAAAGUACGGAGGUCUCCGUGCUUGUAAGUUGUUUUCGAUGAUAGGGCAUCCGAUUCGACGAUCGGCUCCGUUAGGCAUAAUCUAUGCUAUUGGAACUAUUUAGAAAUCAAAUUUUAUAAUUUUUUGACAUCAUUUACCAAGCGAUCACAGUGUCUCAAAAAUGACUAUUUUAACGGCCGAUGUGGCACGUUUUUAAGUUCAACGGUGUAGAAAUAUCCAAAUUACAUGAAAAUUUAAUAAAAAAUUCUACUUAACAUCAAGAGUAAGAACAAUACUUCCGAUUUGAAAUUUGAGUCCUUUAUCACUGUUUUUUAUGUGAUUUUUAUUUUCAACCGUUCUUCAGCCGUUCAUUUUGAGGAUACUCAUUCACUAGGCAAACGAAGUCAAAAAAUUAUGAAAUUUGAUUUCUAAAUAGUUCUAAUAGCGUAGAUCAUGUCUAACAGAACCGAUCGCCGAAUCAGACGUCCCAUCAUCAAAAACAACUUACAAGUACGGAGGCCUCCGUACUUUCGAAAGCAUAGGAGCCUAACACACACACUCUCUCUCUCUCUCUCUCUCUCUCUCUCUCUCUCUCUAUAUAUAUAUAGACUAGGGCUACUAUACUCUUUUGAGUAUACACUCUUUUGUACUUAUAAAUUUUGGACCGUUGGAUAAAGGGAUGUGAGGUUAGGAUGAUA
rnacentral:lncRNA from 1 species